rnacentral:SRP_RNA from 1 species
CCCGGUCGUGCACAACUCCAGUACCAGCUACUCAGAAGGCAGAGGCAGAGGACCACUUGAGCCUAGGAGUUCUGGGCUGUAGUUCACUAUUCCAACUGGGUGUCAUACUUAGUUCAGCACCAAUAUGGUAAACUUCCAGGACCAGGGGGACCACUAGGCUGCCUAAGAAGGGGUGAACUGACCCAGGUCAGGAAUGGAGCAGGUCAAAAUUCCUGUGCUGAUCUGUAACAGGAUCACACCUGUGAGUAGCCACUACACUCUACCUGGACAACAUAGUGAGAUCUCAUCUCA